rnacentral:rRNA from 1 species
AGUGAACGCUGGCGGUAGGCCUAACACAUGCGAGUCGAACGGCAGCACAGUAAGAGCUUGCUCUUACGGGUGGCGAGUGGCGGACGGGUGAGGAAUACAUCGGAAUCUACUUUUUCGUGGGGGAUAACGUAGGGAAACUUACGCUAAUACCGCAUACGACCUACGGGUGAAAGCAGGGGAUCUUCGGACCUUGCGCGAUUGAAUGAGCCGAUGUCGGAUUAGCUAGUUGGCGGGGUAAAGGCCCACCAAGGCGACGAUCCGUAGCUUGUCUGAGAGGAUGAUCAGCCACACUGGAACUGAGACACGGUCCAGACUCCUACGGGAGGCAGCCGUGGGGAAUAUUUGACAAUGGGCGCAAGCCUGAUCCAGCCAUACCGCGUGGGUGAAGAAGGCCUUCGGGUUGUAAAGCCCUUUUGUUGGGAAAGAAAAGCAGCAGGUUAAUACCCCGCUGUUCUGACGGUACCCAAAGAAUAAGCACCGGCUAACUUCGUG